rnacentral:snoRNA from 1 species
UGCUUUCUAAGAUGGGCAUGAGGUAUACUGUAGAUAUGAACAGAAAAGAACUUUCUCCUGGGUCUUCUAUCUACUACCUUGCUAGCAAUCAAUCUAUUGGGAAUAUUU